GGGAUUCCUGCAUGGAGAAGGUACAGUAAACCACUUCAUUCAGACACUGUGAAGAUCACCAUGGUGAGAAACUUGACCAGCUCUGUCAUCAACCUGAAAGACUGAGGGAUUCCUGCAUGGAGAAGGUACAGUAAACCACUUCAUUCAGACACUGUGAAGAUCACCAUGGUGAGAAACUUGACCAGCUCUGUCAUCAACCUGAAAGACUGAGGGAUUCCUGCAUGGAGAAGGUACAGUAAACCACUUCAUUCAGACACUGUGAAGAUCACCAUGGUGAGAAACUUGACCAGCUCUGUCAUCAACCUGAAAGACUGAGGGAUUCCUGCAUGGAGAAGGUACAGUAAACCACUUCAUUCAGACACUGUGAAGAUCACCAUGGUGAGAAACUUGAUCAGCUCUGUCAUCAACCUGAAAGACUGAGGGAUUCCUGCAUGGAGAAGGUACAGUAAACCACUUCAUUCAGAC